rnacentral:rRNA from 1 species
AGUGGCGAACGGGUGAGUAACGCGUGGGUAACCUGCCUUAUACAGGGGGAUAACAGUUGGAAACGACUGCUAAUACCGCAUAAGCGCACAGUGCCGCAUGGUACAGUGUGAAAAACUCCGGUGGUAUAAGAUGGACCCGCGUCUGAUUAGCUAGUUGGUGAGGUAACGGCUUACCAAGGCGACGAUCAGUAGCCGGCUUGAGAGAGUGAUCGGCCACAUUGGGACUGAGACACGGCCCAAACUCCUACGGGAGGCAGCAGUGGGGAAUAUUGCACAAUGGGGGAAACCCUGAUGCAGCAACGCCGCGUGAGUGAAGAAGUAUUUCGGUAUGUAAAGCUCUAUCAGCAGGGAAGAUAAUGACGGUACCUGACUAAGAAGCCCCGGCUAACUACGUGCCAGCAGCCGCGGUAAUACGUAGGGGGCAAGCGUUAUCCGGAUUUACUGGGUGUAAAGGGAGCGUAGGCGGCUUGGCAAGUCUGAUGUGAAAGCCCAGGGCUCAACCCUGGGACUGCAUUGGAAACUGUCAGGCUAGAGUGCAGGAGAGGUAAGUGGAAUUCCUAGUGUAGCGGUGAAAUGCGUAGAUAUUAGGAGGAACACCAGUGGCGAAGGCGGCUUACUGGACUGUAACUGACGCUGAGGCUCGAAAGCGUGGGGAGCAAACAGGAUUAGAUACCCUGGUAGUCCACGCUGUAAACGAUGAAUACUAGGUGU